UACAGAGGGUGCAAGCGUUAAUCGGAAUUACUGGGCGUAAAGCGUGCGUAGGCGGUUUGAUAAGCUGGAUGUGAAAUCCCCGGGCUUAACCUGGGAACUGCAUUCAGGACUGUUUGACUAGAGUCUGGGAGAGGGUGGUGGAAUUUCCGGUGUAGCGGUGAAAUGCGUAGAUAUCGGAAGGAACAUCAGUGGCGAAGGCGACUGCCUGGCCCAAGACUGACGCUGAGGCACGAAAGCGUGGGUAGCAAACAGG
rnacentral:rRNA from 1 species